UGGGGAAUAUUGCACAAUGGGCGCAAGCCUGAUGCAGCGACGCCGCGUGAGGGAUGACGGCCUUCGGGUUGUAAACCUCUUUCAAUAGGGACGAAGCGCAAGUGACGGUACCUAUAGAAGAAGGACCGGCCAACUACGUGCCAGCAGCCGCGGUAAUACGCAGGGUCCGAGCGUUGUCCGGAAUUACUGGGCGUAAAGAGCUCGUAGGUGGCUUGUCGCGUUGUUCGUGAAAACUCACAGCUUAACUGUGGGCGUGCGGGCGAUACGGGCAGACUAGAGUACUGCAGGGGAGACUGGAAUUCCUGGUGUAGCGGUGGAAUGCGCAGAUAUCAGGAGGAACACCGGUGGCGAAGGCGGGUCUCUGGGCAGUAACUGACGCUGAGGAGCGAAAGCGUGGGGAGCGAACA
rnacentral:rRNA from 1 species